AAAAACCCUUCAAAACCUCCCUCUGGUUAUCCACACGUUUACCCUGUGAAGUACCCGAAGGCUGAAGCUCCGAUGUCCAAAUCUCCAUUUCCUCCGUUCUUUCGUCCACACCACCUUGAAACUCUCUAGCAUACCCAUUCUUCUUCUUCUUCAAUGGCUUCUCUCAUCCGAGUAUCUGACAUUUCCACGCCUCUUUUCUCGAAGGACAGUUCAUCUCCGAGGCUCUGGACACUUUUCGGUCUUCGGUGCCUCGCUUGCCACUUCAAAACAAAACCUUCACUUUCACUCGCCAAAGCUGUCUACACUCAAGGCCUCUUCGCCUCCGGACCCGCCAAAUUCUCUAAACCAAGAGACAAAAUCGACCACGACGACGAUCCCAUUUUCGUACUGAACGACAGGAUUCGCCGUGAUUAUAACGAGCGAGAUGCUUCCAGAACGGUCAUGGACUCGGAUGAGGCCGAAAAGUAUAUUCAGCUGGUAAAGGAGCAGCAGCAGAGGGGCUUGCAGAAGCUCAAGGGUGGUGGUGUUGGUGGGGGUGGGUUUAGUUACAAGGUGGACCCCUAUACUCUCCGUUCUGGCGAUUACGUUGUACACAAAAAGGUGGGUAUUGGGCGAUUUGUGGGGAUCAAAUUCGAUGUGCCCAAGGGUUCUACGGAGCCAAUCGAGUAUGUCUUUAUAGAAUAUGCAGAUGACAUGGCUAAACUUCCGGUCAAGCAGGCUUCUCGUUUGCUCUAUCGCUACAAUCUCCCAAAUGAAUCAAAAAGGCCCCGGACAUUGAGUAAAUUGAGUGAUACUAGUGUAUGGGAGAGGAGAAAGACAAAAGGAAAGGUUGCAAUUCAGAAAAUGGUUGUUGACUUGAUGGAGCUGUAUUUACAUAGGCUGAAACAAAGGCGGCCUCCCUACCCAAAGAGUCCUGCCAUGGCCGAAUUUGCAGCUCAAUUUCCUUAUGAACCCACACCAGAUCAAAAACAGGCUUUCGUUGAUGUGGAGAAGGAUUUGACAGAGAGAGAAACUCCAAUGGACAGAUUGAUUUGUGGAGAUGUUGGGUUUGGUAAAACUGAAGUUGCAUUACGUGCCAUCUUUUGUGUAGUCUCAGCCAGUAAGCAAGCUAUGGUUCUAGCACCGACAAUUGUGUUAGCCAAGCAACAUUUUGAUGUUAUUUCAGAGCGAUUUUCUAUGUAUCGUGAUAUCAAUGUUGGACUCCUGAGCAGGUUUCAGAGCAAAGCAGAGAAAGAGCAGUACCUGGAUAUGAUAAAAAAUGGUCGAUUGGACAUUAUUGUCGGGACUCACUCACUUCUUGGAACUCGUGUUGUGUAUAAUAACCUAGGUCUUCUUGUGGUUGAUGAGGAACAGAGAUUUGGCGUCAAGCAGAAGGAGAAGAUUGCUUCAUUCAAAACUUCAGUUGAUGUUCUUACUCUCUCAGCAACCCCUAUACCAAGAACCCUUUAUUUAGCAUUAACUGGUUUUCGUGAUGCAAGUUUGAUUUCAACUCCACCUCCAGAAAGGGUCCCUAUAAAAACUCACCUUUCAGCAUAUAGCAAGGAAAAGCUAAUAUCAGCCAUCAAGUACGAGCUGGACCGUGGUGGCCAAGUUUUUCACGUUCUGCCUCGUAUCAAAGGACUUGAGGAAGUUAUGGAAUUUCUUGAACAGUCAUUUCCAAAUGUUGAAAUAGCUAUUGCACAUGGGCAGCAAUAUUCAAAGCAGCUUGAGGAAACCAUGGAGAGAUUUGCACAAGGUGAAAUAAAGAUCCUUAUAUGCACAAAUAUUGUGGAAAGUGGGCUUGAUAUUCAAAAUGCAAACACCAUCAUAAUUCAGGAUGUUCAACAAUUUGGCCUAGCACAAUUGUACCAGUUACGUGGAAGGGUAGGGCGAACGGAUAAGGAAGCGCAUGCAUACUUGUUUUACCCCAAUAAGUCACUACUGUCUGAUCAAGCAUUGGAGAGGCUUGUAGCUCUAGAAGAAUGCCGUGAACUCGGCCAAGGAUUUCAACUGGCAGAGAGAGACAUGGGUAUUAGAGGUUUUGGUACAAUCUUUGGUGAGCAGCAGACAGGUGAUGUUGGAAAUGUAGGAAUUGAUCUCUUCUUUGAGAUGCUCUUUGAGAGCUUGUCCAAGGUUGAAGAGCAUCGUGUAAUUUCAGUUCCUUACCAGUCUGUACAGAUGGAUAUAAAUAUAAACCCUCACCUCCCUUCAGAGUACAUAAAUAAUCUGGAGAAUCCUAUGGAAAUAAUUAAUGAAGCUGAGAAAGCUGCUGAGAGAGACAUCUGGAGUUUGAUGCAAUUUACAGAGAAUCUGCGCCGCCAAUAUGGAAAAGAGCCAUACUCCAUGGAGAUUCUAUUGAAGAAGCUUUAUGUGAGGAGAAUGGCUGCGGAUCUAGGGAUAACUAAAAUAUUUUCUUCAGGAAAGAUGGUUGGCAUGAAAACAAACAUGACUAAGAAGGUUUUCAAGCUUAUAAUGGAUUCAAUGGUUUCUGAUGUUCAUCGAAAUUCUUUGGAUCUUGUGGGAGAUCAAAUUAAGGUAUCAAAUGUCUGCUUAUUUUUUGGGAUUACUGAUGUCGGCAUGCCACUUUCCUGUACGCUUACAAUGUAUUUGGAGGCUCCUUACUCUUCAUGUUGUUAGUAACUAGUAUUAGUUUGACAUGCAGAACUUCUUUUAGAGCUACCAAGAGAACAGCUCCUGAAUUGGAUCUUCCAAUGCUUGGCUGAACUUCAUGCUUCGCUACCAGCCUUAAUAAAAUACUAGCCAACAAAACACAAUCUGUCCAUCUCUGAUUCUCCUGGAUCGUGACUGAGCAUUGCUAGCAUGAAUCACAUGAAAAUGUUAGAAGUCAGAACCCAACUAAUGCAACUGAUUUUAUGAACAUGCUCGUUCAGCUGUGGUUAGAUGGGAACUAAGCAAAUGUUUGUGUCAACGCAUGCAUUUCUGAAAAUGUGGGGGAUGCAACCAUUGACGACACGCUGGUGGGGAGGAGCAGCUGCUGUGUGAAAAGAAUGCAUUGGGGGAGGGCUGGAAAAGCUAAAAAAUAUAGAUUCUGGACUCAAUAGGAUGAAACUUGUCUCAAGGUUGUUACGUAGAAGCUCAUAUGUGGGGACAAUGUAUUCUGAAGCCUCAAAAAGUGCUCUUGUAACUGGGAAGGAAUAAUAAGUGUAUAUAUAUAUAUUAUAUAUAUCGAUGUUGUGGGCAGAGGGUUUGUUAUUCCUAUUUGUAGUCUUCGGUAUAUAUGUGACUGUGGAUUGGUUGUAUUAACUAUGAAGUGUCAUAUUAAUGUUUGAACGUACUAACCAAAGCAAUUAUAAACGAGGGGAAGUUCAAGAGGAA